rnacentral:rRNA from 1 species
AUUUACGAUUAAUACCAACUCGAAUACACUGGAUCCCAUUUGAACUCAGCUUUUAAGCAAGUUCGGGCUCUUAACUUCGAAUUUAAGCGAGAUUGGGUGAGACAAUACUAAGAUAGGUGAUCUCUUGGGAAGUCCUUGCCUUGCAUAUU